CCUACGGGUGGCAGCAGUGAGGAAUAUUGGUCAAUGGGCGGGAGCCUGAACCAGCCAAGCCGCGUGAGGGAAGAAGGUACAGCGUAUCGUAAACCUCUUUUGUCAGGGAACAAAGGCGGGGACUAGUCCCCGGAUGAGGGUACCUGAAGAAAAAGCAUCGGCUAACUCCGUGCCAGCAGCCGCGGUAAUACGGAGGAUGCGAGCGUUAUCCGGAUUUAUGGGGUUUAAAGGGUGCGUGGGCGGCCUGGUAAGUCAGCGGUAAAAGCCCGGGGCUCAACCCCGGCGUGCCGUUGAAACUGGCGGGCUGGAGUGGGGGUGAAGUAGGCGGAAUGCGCGGUGUAGCGGUGAAAUGCUUAGAUAUCGCACAGAACACCGAUUGCGAAGGCAGCGUACCGGCUCCACACUGACGCUGAGGCACGAAAGCGUGGGUAUCGAACAGGAUUAGAUACCCUGGUAGUC
rnacentral:rRNA from 1 species